UAAAAUAAAUGGGACCCGGCGCGAACUUGCGGUCCGCGAACAUUUGAUCGCGUUCGCACGAUCGCAUUUGUGAACCGUCCCGGCAGAUGUUCGUCCACCACUACUGAGCGAGAGCAGGCGGCAGUAUCCAGCGAGGUGCACCAUGUAACGGUUCCUACAAUAUAGGAUCCGCUCAGUGGAUAUCUUCUAUAUAAGAUCCUUCUCUUGAUUGCCCCAACAAGGAUGGAUAGGGAAAGGGAUAAGAUGGCGGAGAGUAUAAUAAAUCUCACCCUAGAGAUCCUCUUCCAGCUUACUGGAGAGGACUACACAGUAGUGAAGAAGACCUCUAGUGAGUGCUGUCAGGACCCUGUGUCUGA